GCAGCAGUGAGGAAUAUUGGUCAAUGGACGAGAGUCUGAACCAGCCAAGUAGCGUGCAGGAUGACGGCCCUAUGGGUUGUAAACUGCUUUUAUAAGGGAAUAAAGUGAGUCUCGUGAGGCUUUUUGCAUGUACCUUAUGAAUAAGGACCGGCUAAUUCCGUGCCAGCAGCCGCGGUAAUACGGAAGGUCCGGGCGUUAUCCGGAUUUAUUGGGUUUAAAGGGAGCGUAGGCCGGAGAUUAAGCGUGUUGUGAAAUGUAGACGCUCAACAUCUGCACUGCAGCGCGAACUGGUUUCCUUGAGUACGCACAAAGUGGGCGGAAUUCGUGGUGUAGCGGUGAAAUGCUUAGAUAUCACGAAGAACUCCGAUUGCGAAGGCAGCUCACUGGAGCGCAACUGACGCUGAAGCCCGAAAGUGCGGGUAUCGAACAGGAUUAGAUACCCUGGUAGUCCGCACGGUAAACGAUGGAUGCCCGCUGUUGGUCUGAAUAGGUCAGCGGCCAAGCGAAAGCAUUAAGCAUCCCACCUGGGGAGUACGCCGGCAACGGUGCAACUCAAAGGAAUUGACGGA
rnacentral:rRNA from 1 species